AUCCCAUCCUGUCCCUCAGGAAUUUCCCUCAGCCUCCACCUGGGGUUGGAUAUUUAGGGACUCACCCAUGCGGCAUAUAAGUCAGAACGAGUUGGGAGGGAAUGUUCUUUUAAAUGAAAGAAGUUGCAUUUGAUACUACCACACACAUUAUGUUGUUAAAUAUCUACAGCAUGAUAAAAUCAUUCCAAAUGUCACCAAUCCCUGGGGGACUUAUUAAUAAUUAAGCAUUUUUAGUUCACUUAGGAAUGCAGAUUCCAUUUAACAGGAAAAUACACACUAAAUCUGUCCAUUAUACUGCAGCUUUCAACAGAAUGUGUUCGAGAUCUCAGCUGGGUUUCCCCAGGACAGAUGACAAAGUUAAUGCAGGUCUUUCCUAAAGCAGCACCCUGAAUUUGUGUUUAUUAGGAGUGUUUAUUAGAGUGACUAAUAAUGGAAGGAAGACGACUUGACAAGUGUUGGGGAGAGCUGAGAGGAGCCUAGAGGAGACUGGAUGAUCCUGAAGAAUGUAGGGCGGAACAGAGACUCAGGGUGUGAGGCCCACCGAAGAAGAUUCCUUUUGAAGAUGAUCAAGGAGACAAAGGGAGAGAGAGACACAGGUUCCAGGCAAGUGGACCGGUGGGGCAGAGAUUCCCACCCUCCUCUCAGGAAAGAAUCGACGUGGCUAGAGAGGAAUGUGAGAAGAAAUGGGGGGAGGGGAGAGCAACGAAAGCUAUUUAUCUCGCAGCAGCCUUGGGAGAGGAGUAAAGGAGGAGGGGCCGAGUUUCAAAACAACUUGCGGACUUAAGAGACUAUAACAAUGGCGG
ensembl:lncRNA